rnacentral:lncRNA from 1 species
GAGAUGGUGUUUUGCCACGUUGCCCAGGUCUUGAACUCCUGGGCUCAAGCGAUCCACCUGUCUAGUCCUCCCAAAGCUCUAGAAUCACAGGUGUGAGCCACUGUGCUCAGCCCAUUUACAUUCUUGAUCAAAUAAUCUCCACUCUUCUCUUAAGAUCCUGGGAACACUACAUGGGUCCCAUGAUGAUGUUUGGGACUUGCAGACUAAAUGAGACCGCCAAUUUAAUGCAUCUAUUAAUAUUAGUCAAGUUAAACGUCUUAAUUUUUGAUAAAACUAAAUGUAAGUGGAAGUUUUAGCAUUUUCUCCAGCACUCCAAUGGAUCAGCGCUGGACAUUCUGUUUGGGAGACCACUGAUCUAGAUCAAGGGCUGUUGGAAGGGCUGUGAAAUUCUUUAAUACUUAAAAAAUUAUUUAAUUUAAAAAAUUGACAGAUAACAUGAUGUUUUCAAAUAUGUCUACCUUGUGGAAUGGGAAAGUCAAGCUAAUUAACAUAUGCAUUACUUCGCAUAAAUCCUUUGAUACUUUUUAUUAGAUUCUGCCAUAUUGCUUACUAUAGCUUUGGGAAACACAGGGGCGAUAUGGAUGGAUCACCAUUGUACAGUCAAAGAAACUCACAGGAAGGCACCCUGGUCACUUCCAAGAUUGUGGACUACUGGGGCCAUCUCUGUUUUAUUACCUCUAAUCACUAAGUGAGUCUUUGCCCCAUUUUCUUAAGGCUGUGUUGUUCUUUUAGACUGGCUACAGUGGGGCUUCCAAAGAUAAGACAGAAUAUCCCAUAGCAAACAAGCUGUCAAGUUGGCCAGGGUGAUUUGUUAGGAUUUCUUUUUUGGCCAAUUAAAAAAUAGCUGUCAAAAGCACUACUUUGUAGGACUCAUUAAGGUAAUGUUCAAAUUGUCUCUAAUGGUUCUUUGACCAUGAUUAAGCAAAACAAAUAACACAAAACAAAAAUCUUCCUAUUUCCCAGAGUCCUGGGUUUAUCACAAAUGCUAUUAAGGUUACGAGUUUUGUCCUUUGAUAAAAGAAGAACCACGUUUGGAAAUUGUCAUUACCCUUUAUUUUUCAACACACACACACACACACACACACACACACACACUCCUACAUUGGUUUGUUUCUGAGCGAUGUGUAAGGGAAUUAAAAAAAUCCUUUGGUAAAUACAUAUGCUAGUGUAAAUGGGUAGAAGUUAUUAGUUUUAAACACUUCAUAUAGUAUGGAGUGCAAGUAACAAGGCUCCCAGCUGAAAUGAUUAAAAAGUGAUAUUGUAGAAAAAGGUGUGGUCCCAGACUUCCUGUACCAGUGUUACUUGUUGAGAUUGUUCUGAAUCUGCCUAUUCUCAGGUUCCUCCUCCAGGAUACUGACAUAGCAACAACACGGAUUUUUCAGGCGAUUCUUAGGAACAAUGGAGUUUGAGCACCAUUUGGUCUAGGCUGUGUGUCAAUAAAGGUAUCAACUCAAGCGUGUACACACUGCAGUCUGCUGUACUGGAAAUGACUUAUUUAUUCUACGUUCAUUCACAGCUUCUGUUUAUGGCAUAAUACCUUCUGAGAGUAGGCCAUUAUGACAACAAUGCCUCUGUUUCCUCCAGAUUCUUGGCUGUCACUAUCCUGACCUACCACCUGUGUCACAUCCCAUUAGGUUCUGUGGAUGAGGCAUGGUGCUUGGCACAGACUGACACAAGUUUGGGCAAACUUGGCAGAGCAGCCUAACCCAAAGCGAAAAACAGAAAUGAACCAAGAUACAACCUCUGUGGAAAACCCUACUGAACAAAAGCAACUCUGUGGAGUGUCCUCUCAGCUGCAAAUUGAGACAGAAUUGUGGGGCAAGCUUGGCCACUGAUGCAGAUUCUGCAGCUUGCUACACAGAAAGCCAGAGACCGAGAGCCAAUGACUGAGACUAUGAGUAUUGCCAAGGAAGAAGGCUUUAAUCGGGUGCUGCAGCUGAAAAGAUGAGAGCUCAGCCUCAAAUCCAUCUCCCUGACCAACUAAAGCUAAGGAUUUAUAUAGCAGGGAAGAAGACAGGAACUAGGAAGGGGCAAGGAAGCGAUCCUGAUGAAUGAAGGGUCAGGCAUUUCAUUGUCUGGAUGUGGCGAUCUGGUCAACAACCUUAACCAAGAGUAAGGAAGCCACUUGCUCCAAGUCACAGUAGAAGGUUGAGCAUGUGACUAUUACCAAGAGGAAGUGGGGACACAAGUGACGCCAUGUUGGAGGCUAAUUUGCUGUUUUCACUUCUGAUUAGCCGUUGUCUCGGGAAUGCCUUCUGAUUAUUACUUAAUUUACUGUCCCUAAUGUAAGAACAUGUCAACCUCGAUGCUGUUGCACAAAUUAUAGGCUUUGAUGCAUGCAGCAUUCUUGCCUCUUCUGGAGGGUAGUCUUUCAUUGUCUUGCACAGGGCACACAUACCCUUUCCCUAUGCUAUAUAAGCCCUGGUUCUGGGGGUAACAGGUGCAGAGAUCUACCUGUAUUGCUGCCGCUAAAGACCAUGCUUCCAUCUGUAAGUUUCCCCAGUAAAACAUCCUUUAUCAACAAACUGGAGUUGUGUGGCUUGUUCUUUGGUUUCUUGGCUCUUUUGGCCUUUGGGGGCUACUUUGCAUAUAUGACCGUUUCACGGAGCGGGCAUUUUCCCGUGAUAUCCAGCUGGCUGCUGCCACUGCCAUAGAGCAACUCUGCGAGAGAACUCGGCCCCCUCUCCCUUCAAGUGUUGAAAAGAGCAAGAAGUACAGGCUACUCCAUAGGCCCAGUGCCCAAGGCCCUGAUGGAGCUAUCCAAUUCUCACUGUUAGCCUGGGCACCCUCCAGGACACCAAACAUUCUGUACUUAGGCAGCCCUCAAGAAGAGGCAGUAGAAGAAUUAAGCACACUUUCCAGGUUAAAAACUCCUUGUGUUGCAGAUCUCAGGACAGGCCGAAGCUCUUCUGGGGAGUAUUUAUCCCCAUUAAUGCAUUGUCAUCAAGAUGGGGUGUAUAACCUACAAAGAAAGUCAUCACACAGUAUCCAGCUGCCAUAGAAAGAAAAUCGAUUGUGUUGCAUGGAUUUGUGCAAUAUAAAUAUUUCUUGAAAGAAAGAAAUAAUGAACGAUUACGUCACUAGUUUUUAGGCAUUGAUUUUUGAGAAUUUGUAUAUGUAGAAGUUGAGUGUUCUGAAAUUAGUACAUUGUGAAUGGGGAAGGAGUCAACUCGCUUAAGGAAAUAUAAUAGCUGCAUGGAGCUGGAGACAGAGUAGGAUGAGGCAAGAAGAAAGGCCUGGAGCAGGGCCAGGACUGUGAGACCCACACUUGGUGCUUUUUUUUUGAGAUGGAGUCUCGCUCUG